rnacentral:tRNA from 1 species
AGCGCGUUAACAAAGUGGCUAUGUAGCGGAUUGCAAAUCCGUGUAGUCCGGUUCAAUUCCGGAACGCGCUU